CUCUCUCUCUCUCUCUAUAACCCUCAAAGAUUUCUCUCUGGUUUUGGCAUAAGAUCAGCUCUCUCUCUAUCUCUCUCUCUCUCUCUCUGUGAUUGUAGUUUUUCUGUGUGUUCUUGUUUCCGAUUGCUUUCACUUGGUCAGAUGCUUUUGCUUCUCGUUUGUUUAAUUUCCCGGUGCGAUGUUUUUGUCAGGGUUCGGGCCGAUUUAGAUCUAAAGAGAGAUGUGAUUUUUCUCCUGAAAAUUCUGGAUUUCUAUUUCCUUUUCCCUGAUUUUUUCUUCGAAAAUUCGCGAGGUUUGGCCGGAAGACGAGCCAGAGAAAAGUUCCAAAAGAGUCCCUUUCUGCCCUCUAAAUUUUAUCGCUUUUCUUUUGGGUCAAUCCGGGGUAGUUCUCACUCGUGGAUGCUGUUUAUUAAUUUUAUGUUGCUUUAUCGUGAUUCGUUAAAUAUAUGGUACGAGGAUCUACUGUUUUAAAUAUAUGCGAUAUAGAAUUCAAUUUUUUUAUUUGGGUCUGGCGGAUUCAAACUCUUGGGUGCUAUUUACGUAAGACCAUUUCCAUAGUUUCUCCAGUGUUGGUCAAAGCCGAUAGGCUAACGUGUGUUCCUUUGUUUCUUUUUGCCCCUUUCUGUUUUCAAGAUUUUCCAGCACAUAUAGACACAUCGAAUUCUUCUCAGCAUUUCCCUUAUGUUCCUUAAAUAUCCAAGCAUGGUUUGAUACAUGGAUCAGUACGCCUUUACAGUCGUCGGUUGCAGGCGUAGCAUCAUCAAGAUUCACAAGUGAAAAUGGACGGCGAUGAUUGGAUCGCCCUUUGCCGAAAGUCCAUCUGAGAUUGAGAAUCUUGAUGAUGCUGCAUCGGCAAUAAACGACUCUACACGACAAUCUCGAGGUCCCUCUUCUUUGCUUUUCUGUUGCCUUCAGAUCUACAGUCGUGUUUCCUCCAAAGAAAUAUGUGAAGCCUACUAUAUGUAAGAAACGGCUUAUGAUGCAUCACAAGUUGCAUGAAGGCAUAACGUUGGAAUGUUGCAGAGAGUGAAUUAAAUCAGAGGGAGAGGGAGAGAGAGGAGUCACGGAAGAUGGGAACUGAUGAGAUUCGCCGCAUGAAAUAUGUUCAUCAUGCUCAGGAAGUGUAAAUUCCCUUCAAUCCUGUAGAUUUCUACUUUUGAUUCUAAUUUUUCUCUCUGGCAUGCUUGGCUAGUAUAUAAGAUUAAUUCUUUGCUUCUUUUGGUUAUUUGUCUAUUGUUCAAACAUGCACUGGGGUAUUUUGUUUCUCCCCAGUUUGUUUGGUUCAUUAGCAGCUUAAGAUGAGUUUGAUUUGUUUGUUUGAGUACAGAGGCCAACAUAAAAAAGUUCACAAUCAUUUGGGUCUUUUGGAAUCUUCAUCAUUAGAUUUUUAGAAAGUUUGAUCUUUUAGAAACAUCAAUGACCUGCUCAAAUUUCAUGAAACAACGACGGAACAUCUAAUUAGGAUCAAAUGUGUCAACAUAUUCAUAUAUAUGUUACAAAAAAUCAUAUUGCUUUUCAUUAAAUUUCACCUAGUUUCCCAUUGAAUUUGAUUGAAUCACAUCUCCUCAAAUCUAACAAGUUGACCAUGUCCGAGAAAAUAUACAUGAGCUCAUCACUGAAAGUUCUCUAACUUUCCUACCACUUCUCUCUUGACUUAGAUUUGAAUCAAGCUGUAUGAUCACAUAUCGUUUAUCCGUCAAACUAUACCUUCUCAGCAAAAAAUGGCCAACAAAGAAGUGAGUGAGAACUCCACAAAUGGUUUGUGUCUCAGAAUAUGUGCAUAUUUGAAAUCAGGAACUGAUUUCUUCUUCUGACCAUGAUGUGCCAAUCAAGGUGGGAGGAUGUCUAAUUUGUCACUUUGCUUUUGCUAAUAUCUGCACAAAAAUCGACCUAUCAAUCUUAUUGUUGUGGGACCGAUCGAAACGGUUCCCAUAAACUUCUUUUCACCUCUGCUACUGAAGUGGUACUAGAAAGUAUCUCAAAAUAUCUCCAUUUUCUGCUUCAUCCAUCAUGACAGCGACGAAACCAGACACCUCAAUUGAAUUUUAUGGAAAUCUGUGUGCCUGGAUCGCCUUACCUAUCUGGGAACACAUUGUGACUAGUCCUAUAUUAAGUUAGGUUUAUGUUUCCAGAUCAAGAAACUUCUUUUAGAUAAUUACCUUCGUUGACUAAAUGUACAAGCCUAAGGACACCUCAUACAUGUCGAAUUUUAUCCUAAAGUCAAGAGAUGCUAUAUAUUGUGCAAAGGGAAUUUACUCCAUGACGUGUGAUUUUUCAGGAGCUAUGGAGAAGGGAUGGAUCCUGCGUAAGCAAAGAUAUAUUGGUCAAAUAUGGCUUUACCAAAUGAAGAAGCAAGAGGAUCAAGGGACGUGGCAUUUACGAGUGUCGGAAUGCGUUGCGUAAUAAAGAUAUUUUGAUUCUAUUCCUUUCACAACUUCACAAAGUCUUCAGAUUCUCAUAUAUGUUCUCUUUCUGGUGUGCCUUGUAGCAUUCAAAGUUGGAUAUACAUCACAAGAAUGGAUGUCGAUACUUUUGCACAAACCAGCUAAAGAUUAUCUCUCCUGACGUUCUUCUUCCAAAUAAUCAAGCAUAAUUUCACGACAUUGCUAGGGCAGGUAAGAUAGGCCGGGUGGGAUUCGCCAAGAUCGAGUUAAAGAGUCACGAUCCUUUAUUUGCUUUUCCCUUCAUUCUCACCCGUUUUCCGUUUGGUACUAAACAUGAAGUGUUUAUGUUUCUCUUUUGACCUUCAUUGACAAUAAUCUUGGGUAAGAUUUUCUGUUCUUAGUGUAUCCGACUUCAUGGCCAUUGCUUUUAAAAUGUACUUCCUAUAAUUCGAAUGACUUCAUAGAUUAACCUCUCUUCAACUGGUGCAAAAUUCAUAUGGGAUCUCCAGUCCAAUAUA